rnacentral:tRNA from 7 species
GGCAGGUUGCCCGAGCGGCCAAAGGGAGCUGACUGUAAAUCAGCCGGCAUUGCCUACAGUGGUUCGAAUCCACUACCUGCCA